UACGAAGGGGGGCUAGCGUUGUUCGGAUUUACUGGGCGUAAAGCGCACGUAGGCGGAUCGUUAAGUCAGGGGUGAAAUCCUGGAGCUCAACUCCAGAACUGCCUUUGAUACUGGCGAUCUUGAGUCCGGAAGAGGUGAGUGGAACUCCUAGUGUAGAGGUGGAAUUCGUAGAUAUUAGGAAGAACACCAGUGGCGAAGGCGGCUCACUGGUCCGGUACUGACGCUGAGGUGCGAAAGCGUGGGGAGCAAAGCAGG
rnacentral:rRNA from 1 species